UACGGGGGGGGCAAGCGUUGUUCGGAAUUACUGGGCGUAAAGGGCUCGUAGGCGGCCAACUAAGUCAGACGUGAAAUCCCUCGGCUUAACCGGGGAACUGCGUCUGAUACUGGAUGGCUUGAAUCCGGGAGAGGGAUGCGGAAUUCCAGGUGUAGCGGUGAAAUGCGUAGAUAUCUGGAGGAACUCCGGUGGCGAAGGCGGCAUCCUGGACCGGCAUUGACGCUGAGGAGCGAAAGCCAGGGGAGCAAACGGG
rnacentral:rRNA from 1 species